rnacentral:rRNA from 1 species
UACGGAGGGAGCUAGCGUUGUUCGGAAUUACUGGGCGUAAAGCGCACGUAGGCGGCUUUGUAAGUUAGAGGUGAAAGCCCGGGGCUCAACUCCGGAACUGCCUUUAAGACUGCAUCGCUUGAAUCCAGGAGAGGUGAGUGGAAUUCCGAGUGUAGAGGUGAAAUUCGUAGAUAUUCGGAAGAACACUAGUGGCGAAGGCGGCUCACUGGACUGGUAUUGACGCUGAGGUGCGAAAGCGUGGGGAGCAAACAGG